rnacentral:lncRNA from 1 species
AGGCAGGAGAAUGGCUUGAACCUGGGAGGUGGAGGUUGCAGUGAGCCGAGAUCGCGUCACUGCACUACAGCCUGGGCAAGAGAAUGAGUCUCUGUCUCAAAAAUAAAUAAAUAACAAUAAAUAAUUAAUAAACACAGUGGAGAUGCUCCAAACCCGCCAAGACUAGGCUGUUCCUCCUCGGGGAACACGUGGGCAGAUGCUGAACCGGGAAGGCCCCAAGACGUUGCAGGGUGAGUAAUUUCCGAGCAUGCAAUUAUAAAGAACCGGAGUGCAACAGCUCCCCAAGGCACCCCCGGAUUCCCGCAGCGUGCACGUAAUUGCAGCCAGACAGUAACCUCGCUGUGGCCUGUGUCCCAGCCCUAACCCUGCACCCCACUUGGCACUCCCACAUAUGGGACAAUUUUCCCAGCUGAUUGCUGGAAACUGAUGAAGGGAAGUUAUGUGGCCUCUUGUGAUGGGCGGUCCCACAGCUGCUCUGGUUGGAGAGAGAGAGAGAGACAGAGAGACAGGGGAGGGGGGGGAGAGAGUGAGAGACAGGGAAGAGAGAGAGAGAGAGAGACAGAGAGGGGAGAGAGAGAGAGAUGGGGAGAGAGAGGGGAGAGAGAGAGACGGGGAAAGAGAGGGGAGAGAGAGAGAGAAAGAGAGGGGAGGGGGGAGAGAAAGAGACAGAGGGGAGAGGGGGGAGA